rnacentral:rRNA from 1 species
GACGAACGCUGGCGGCGUGCCUAAUACAUGCAAGUAGAACGCUGAAGGAGGAGCUUGCUUCUCUGGAUGAGUUGCGAACGGGUGAGUAACGCGUAGGUAACCUGCCUGGUAGCGGGGGAUAACUAUUGGAAACGAUAGCUAAUACCGCAUAAUAUUGACUAUUGCAUGAUAGUCAAUUAAAAGGUGCAAUUGCAUCACUACCAGAUGGACCUGCGUUGUAUUAGCUAGUUGGUGAGGUAACGGCUCACCAAGGCAACGAUACAUAGCCGACCUGAGAGGGUGAUCGGCCACACUGGGACUGAGACACGGCCCAGACUCCUACGGGAGGCAGCAGUAGGGAAUCUUCGGCAAUGGACGGAAGUCUGACCGAGCAACGCCGCGUGAGUGAAGAAGGUUUUCGGAUC